rfam:Camelus ferus unplaced genomic scaffold scaffold1085, whole genome shotgun sequence.
GAGGGUAUAGCUUAGUGGUAGAUUGUAGAGUAUGUGUCUCUCAUGCACAAGGUCCUGGGUUCAAUCCCCAGUACCUCCA